AUUGAACGCUGGCGGCAUGCCUUACACAUGCAAGUCGAACGGUAACAGGUCUUCGGAUGCCGACGAGUGGCGAACGGGUGAGUAAUACAUCGGAACGUGCCUAGUAGUGGGGGAUAACUACUCGAAAGAGUGGCUAAUACCGCAUGAGAUCUGCGGAUGAAAGCAGGGGAUCCCAACACCUUGUGCAACUCGAGCGGCCGAUUGAAGAAUAGGUAGUUGGUGGGAUAAAAGCUUACCAAGCCGACGAUCUGUAGCUGGUCUGAGAGGACGAUCAGCCACACUGGGACUGAGACACGGCCCAGACUCCUACGGGAGGCAGCAGUGGGGAAUUUUGGACAAUGGGCGAAAGCCUGAUCCAGCAAUGCCGCGUGCAGGAUGAAGGCCUUCGGGUUGUAAACUGCUUUUGUACGGAACGAAAAGCCCCGGGUUAAUACCCUGGGGUCAUGACGGUACCGUAAGAAUAAGCACCGGCUAACUACGUGCCAGCAGCCGCGGUAA
rnacentral:rRNA from 1 species